CCGCCCUGCCUGGCCUUUGGCGCCCGCAGAGCCCCGCCUCGCAGAGCCCCUCCGGGUAUUGCCACCUGUCGGGACAGAGCGGAGCGCCGGGCCUGGGGCGGUGGGUGUCCUCUCAGCCCGGUCCUGGCCGCCAGCCGUGAGCCCGCGCCGGGCAGGCCCUGCUGAGUCAGGCGUCAAGCUGGGCUCGGAGAACCUUUGCUUGUGUCGCCAACCCCCUCGUACGUUUGUAAGAUGACGUCUAAAAUUUUCAUCCUACAUUUAAGUAGGUGUGGACAUAACGUCGUGUAAAAAUGGACACCUGUGGCAGGCGGCUUCGAGAGGGCGACCUUCUCGGCCCUCCUCCCCGCGGUGUGGCCGGCCUAGACGCCUGGUUCUAAGGGUGGAAAGUGACUAGAGUAAGACAAAAACGGCAGCGUGUCCCGCACGAGGUCAGGGACAAGCAGACCAGGACUCCCGGCCGGCCAGCCGCUCGCGCAGUUCCGGGGCCCAGUGCACAGCGCCGAGCCACAGCUGGUAACAAGCCCAGGCCCUCCGCUCGCCGCUGCAAUGAUUUCUGCACAACUGAGCAAAAUAAUGACUGGUGGUGUCAUAAGAAGAGGAAGAAAGCCCUGAGUGGAGUGCUCUUUGCCCUCUCGUCACGUGUGCCCUCUGCCAUGCUAUGACACAGAAGGUCCUCACCUGAUGCCUCAGCCAUGCCCUUGGACUUCCCAGCCUCCAGGAUUGUGAGCUGAAUAAACUUCUUUCUUUCUUUUUAAA